GUCAAUAUAAAAAUUUCAGGUGCCUGUUAAGGCACAAUAGGGAACCCUGUGCGAAUCAGGGAUGGGCCCGCCGCUGUGAUCGGAGACGAACGCUGCAUUUAUGUCACUGGCUUUAUAACGCUGGGAAGACGCAGUUAAUAGGAUGACCCGAAAGUCAGAAGACCUGCCUGAAAAAGUUUAAUCUG
rnacentral:ncRNA from 2 species